GUUUUCUUCUAGUGAAUAGUUCAUAAAUAUUUAAUAAGUCCUCGUGUGUUCAUGCUGUGAGUCAUCCAGCCAUGGAAAUGUCUCUUCCUGGCAUUCUUUAUGAUAUUAGUUUAGUGUAAAGUUUAAUCUUUUAUAAAGUUAAUUAGUUAAAUUAAAACCUGUGAACACUGCGUGUAAACUUGAUGUCUAAACAUCAUACAGUGUGGUUCAGAGCAGUUCAGUUACUACUGUUCCAGUUUAAUUGGUGAGAUCUGUUUACACCUCCCAGUCCGGAUUAAAGCUGCACAUUUGGUCAUGUUUCCUCUGCCUGGAAGUAUGUUAUGAUUAAAGACAUUUCAGUCACAAGACUGCUGCAUUUGUUAAGCUCACAAUAACUUAUUUGAUUUCAAAUUCAUAUCAGCCUGAGAACGGAGAUGGAGCCAGGCUGUUUUCAGGGGAUGCUUUUUAUUUCAGGAAAGAACACAGCACGACGUUCUCAGUCACUCUGAUGUGUGAACGUGAAACACACAUGUAAUGGGUCACCAUAUACGAUCAUCUGCCUCCAUUUUACCCUAUCCCUGUGCUAAGGAUAGCGCGACACAGCGACUCUGCGGUUUCCUUUAAGACAAAUGUAAAAGGACUGACCAUAGUGGAGUUGGAGGCCUCGUCCCCGGCGCAGACCAGCGUCCCGCCUCCGUCCGGACUCCUGAAGACGGC